GGGCCCGUAGUCUAGCCUGGUUAGGAUGUCCAGGGCAUAAGCGGGAGGUCCCGGGUUCAAGUCCCGGCGGGCCCACCA
rnacentral:tRNA from 4 species